GAUGAACCUCUUUAGAGGUUCGUGGUAGGAGAGCGUUCUAAGGGCGGUGAAGUCAGACCGGAAGGACUGGUGGAGCGCUUAGAAGUGAGAAUGCCGGUAUGAGUAGCGAAAGAAGGGUGAGAAUCCCUUCCACCGAAUAUCUAAGGUUUCCUGAGGAAGGCUCGUCCGCUCAGGGUUAGUCGGGACCUAAGCUGAGGCCGAUAGGCGUAGGCGAUGGACAACAGGUAGAGAUUCCUGUACCAGUGCUAAUUGUUUAACCGAUGGGGUGACACAGAAGGAUAGGGAAUCGCACGAAUGGAAAUGUGCGUCCAAGCAGUGAGUGUGAGAAGUAGGCAAAUCCGCUUCUCGCGAAGCAUGAGCUGUGAUGUGGAAGGAAAU
rnacentral:rRNA from 1 species